rnacentral:rRNA from 1 species
UGGGGAAUAUUGGACAAUGGGCGCAAGCCUGAUCCAGCAAUGCCGCGUGUGUGAAGAAGGCCUUCGGGUUGUAAAGCACUUUUAUCAGGAGCGAAACGCUGUCGGCUAAUACCCGGCGGAACUGACGGUACCUGAGGAAUAAGCACCGGCUAACUUCGUGCCAGCAGCCGCGGUAAUACGAAGGGUGCAAGCGUUAAUCGGAAUUACUGGGCGUAAAGCGUGCGUAGGCGGUUUCUUAAGUCUGCUGUGAAAUCCCCGGGCUCAACUUGGGAAUGGCAGUGGAUACUGGGAGGCUAGAGUGUGUCAGAGGGUGGUGGAAUUCCCGGUGUAGCGGUGAAAUGCGUAGAGAUCGGGAGGAACAUCAGUGGCGAAGGCGGCCACCUGGGACAACACUGACGCUGAGGCACGAAAGCGUGGGGAGCAAACAGGAUUAGAUACCCUGGUAGUCCACGCCCUAAACGAUGCGAACUGGAUGUUGGUCUCAACUCGGAGAUCAGUGUCGAAGCUAACGCGUUAAGUUCGCCGCCUGGGGAGUACGGUCGCAAGACU